rnacentral:rRNA from 1 species
GGGCCCGCACAAGCGGUGGAGCAUGUGGUUUAAUUCGACGCAACGCGAAGAACCUUACCUACUCUUGACAUCCAGAGAAUUCGCUAGAGAUAGCUUAGUGCCUUCGGGAGCUCUGAGACAGGUGCUGCAUGGCUGUCGUCAGCUCGUGUUGUGAAAUGUUGGUUAAGUCCCGUAACGAGCGCAACCCUUAUCCUUAUUUGCCAGCGGUUCGGCCGGGGACUAUAAGGAGACUGCCGGUGACAAACCGGAGGAAGGCGGGGACGACGUCAAGUCAUCAUGGCCCUUACGAGUAGGGCUACACACGUGCUACAAUGGUGCAUACAGACGGUUGCGAACCCGCGAGGGGGAGCCAA